AAGCAGGUCAUAGUGAUCCGGUGGUUCUGAAUGGAAGGGCCAUCGCUCAACGGAUAAAAGGUACUCCGGGGAUAACAGGCUGAUACCGCCCAAGAGUUCAUAUCGACGGCGGUGUUUGGCACCUCGAUGUCGGCUCAUCACAUCCUGGGGCUGAAGUAGGUCCCAAGGGUAUGGCUGUUCGCCAUUUAAAGUGGUACGCGAGCUGGGUUUAGAACGUCGUGAGACAGUUCGGUCCCUAUCUGCCGUGGGCGCUGGAGAACUGAGGGGGGCUGCUCCUAGUACGAGAGGACCGGAGUGGACGCAUCACUGGUGUUCGGGUUGUCAUGCCAAUGGCACUGCCCGGUAGCUAAAUGCGGAAGAGAUAAGUGCUGAAAGCAUCUAAGCACGAAACUUGCCCCGAGAUGAGUUCUCCCUGACCCUUUAAGGGUCCUGAAGGAACGUUGAAGACGACGACGUUGAUAGGCCGGGUGUGUAAGCGCAGCGAUGCGUUGAGCUAACCGGUACUAAUGAACCGUGAGG
rnacentral:rRNA from 1 species